UAGGCUGGGUGUGUAAGCGCAGCGAUGCGUUGAGCUGACCAGUACUAAUGAACCGUGAGGCUUAACCUGACAACGCCGAAGGUGUUU
rnacentral:rRNA from 1 species